AGCAGGUGUUUCCAUCACUGUGGAGGAAACUGAAGCACAGAGAGGUGAAGUCACUUGCUCAAGAUCACACAGCAACCAAGAGACUCAAGUGCAGAUCUGCAGGAGCCCGAGGCCUUGUCUUUCCAGUCCACCCUGCUGUCUGUCUCUUCUAAUGAAUCACAGACAGACUUCAGACUCAGAAGAUCAAUGAGGAAGUGUUCCGACAAUAAAGACAUCAUCGAUAUAUUAACUCACGUCUUCAGAGCUUCAGGCACAUUCUGCAGAGACGUCCUCCAAAUGGAAAACAACGCUGCAGUAAAGCGGACAGUGUGGGCCCGGCUGUCACGGCUUUGAUGGCUGGACUUGGAGCAAGGAGGGCAGAAGAGGAGUGAACGCUCACCAGCCCAGGACCCGGCGGGGACGGAUGACCCCCGUCCAGGCGGCCGGCCCAGAGCUGCCUCCACUCCCAUGUUGCUUCCCCUCCGUCUGCUUCUGCAGAGACGUUUCGAGAAGCAGUGGCUGCUUGUCACAGCCAGGCUCUGCCUCUGAAGCUGGUGACAGCCCCACGGGAAGGCGUCCGGGCUGCUUCUCGGGCUCCCACAGGCCCUGGGCCCUGCGAAGGCUUCUGCGGCACAGGGGCGCCGGGGGCGCAGGGGGCCCUGGGGGAGGAUUUGUUCCAUGGGCCUCAGCGCCCUAGGGAGGAGAGUGGUCUCCCCCGUUUCACAGAGGAGGAAAGCUGAGCUGGAAGAGGAUACCGAUUUGUCCAGUGUCACCCCUCCUGGGGAGAGCCAGGAUGGCGUCCGGGGCGCUCUGAGAGGAAGGGGGAGUGAGCCACACAGGGACACGGCGCCCAAGGCUCCGGGUCCUGGCGGGCAGUCGGGGGCCCUCCAGCCAACACCCCCUUUAGCCUCCAUGUCACAGUUGGGCCACCUUCUCCUUGGUGGGAUUCACUCAUUCAUUCACUUAUCCAACAACAGAUACCCAUGGAGAAUCUUCUAGAAGCCCAGGCUUGUGCCACUGCAGGGAGAGGAAUAAACAAAACAGUAAGCCUCCAGUCUCACUGGUUUUCGGGGGUCAGGCCCCGUUCCCGCCACCCCCAGGGACCCUCCUCGUUACAGAAGGGGCAGCUUCACCCUGGUCUGCCUCAGAUUUCUUCUCCCCUCCCCGGAGCAGCCCCCAGAUGGGAGUGAGACCCUCCCUCCCUCCCUCCCUCCCCACAGCCCACCCGGGCCUCUGCCCCGGAGCCUUAUGCUUUCAGCUCUGCCGGGACAG
rnacentral:lncRNA from 1 species